rnacentral:rRNA from 1 species
GGACCCGCACAAGUAGUGGAGCAUGUGGUUUAAUUCGAAGAUACGCGCAGAACCUUACCAACACUUGACAUGUUCGUCGCGACUUUAAGAGAUUAAAGUUUUCGGUUCGGCCGGACGAAACACAGGUGCUGCAUGGCUGUCGUCAGCUCGUGUCGUGAGAUGUUGGGUUAAGUCCCGCAACGAGCGCAACCCUCACUUUUAGUUGCCAUCAUUAAGUUGGGCACUCUGAAAGAACUGCCAGUGAUAAGCUGGAGGAAGGUGGGGAUGACGUCAAGUCCUCAUGGCCCUUACGUGUUGGGCUACACACGUGCUACAAUGGUGGUGACAAUGGGUUAAUCCCAAAAGCCAUCUCAGUUCGGAUUGGGGUCUGCAACUCGACCCCAUGAAGUUGGAAUC